GGCGAUCAGAUACCGCCCUAGUUCUAACCGUAAACGAUGCCAACUGGCCAUUCGACGGUGUUAAUUUAUGACUCGUCGGGCAGCCUCCGGGAAACCAAAGUUUUCUGGUUCCGGGGGAAGUAUGGUUGCAAAGCUUAAACUUAAAGGAAUUGACGGAAGGGCACCACCAGGUGUGGAGCCUGCGGCUUAAUUUGACUCAACACGGGAAAUCUCACCCGGCCAGGACACAGUAAGGAUUGACAGAUUGAUAGCUCUUUCUCGAUUUUGUGGGUGGUGGUGCAUGGCCGUUCUUAGUUGGUGGAGCGAUUUGUCUGGUUAAUUCCGAUAACGAACGAGACUCUAGCCUAUUAAAUAGGUUUAAUAUUUGUUUGUAUUGAAUCCUUCUUAGAGGGACAAUCGGCUUAUAGCCGAGCGAGAUUGAGCAAUAACAGGUCUGUGAUGCCCUUAGAUGUCCGGGGCUGCACGCGCGCUACACUGAAGGUAGCAAAGUGUUUCGCGCCCGGCCACGAAAGUGGUCGGUAAUCACGAAUUAUUUUCGUGCUUGGGAUAGGGAAUUGAAAUUAUUUCCCUUGAACGAGGAAUAUCUAGUAAAUGCGAGUCAUAAGCUCGCGUUGAUUACGUCCCUGCCCUUUGUA
rnacentral:rRNA from 1 species